rnacentral:rRNA from 1 species
GACAGAGGAUGCAAGCGUUAUCCGGAAUGAUUGGGCGUAAAGCGUCUGUAGGUGGCUUUUCAAGUCCGCCGUCAAAUCCCAGGGCUCAACCCUGGACAGGCGGUGGAAACUGCCAAGCUGGAGUACGGUAGGGGAGUGUGGAAUUCCCGGUGUAGCGGUGAAAUGCGCAGAUAUCGGGAGGAACACCCGUAGCGAAGGCGGCACUCUGGGCCGGUACUGACGCUGAGGAGCGAAAGCGUGGGGAGCAAACAGG